GGAAGGAUCAUUAUUGAAUAAACAUUUGAUAGGCUGUUGCUGGCCCUUGGUAGUGUGCACGCUUGUCAUUUAUUUGUUUGUUUUUCCACCUGUGCACCUUUUUGUAGACCUUAGAAUUUGGGAACUGCUGUGCGAGUGCCAGCUUUUCCUUGUCUCUCUCUAGGUUCUAUGUUUUUCACAUACUCCUACGAAUGUAAUAGAAUGUUGAUCUGGGUCUUUGAUGCCCAUAAAGUUAUAUACAACUUUCAGCAAUGGAUCUCUUGGCUCUCGCAUCGAUGAAGAACGCAGCGAAAUGCGAUAAGUAAUGUGAAUUGCAGAAUUCAGUGAAUCAUCGAAUCUUUGAACGCAUCUUGCGCUCCUUGGUAUUCUGAGGAGCAUGCCUGUUUGAGUGUCAUUAAAUUCUCAACUACACUGACUUUUGAUUGGUGUGGCUUGGAUUUGGGAUUGUGGGCUAUUGCCGUAGUCUGCUCUCCUGAAAUUGAUUAGCAGUGCCUUGGUGGAACUGUCUACAGGUGUGAUAAUUAUCUACAUCCUAGACAUCUGCUUGAUGCUGCUUUCUAAACCUUACCUCUAUUGACAAUCUUGACCUCAAAUCAGGUAGGACUACCCGCUGAACUUAAGCAUAUCAAUAAGCGGAGGAAAAGAAACUAACAAGGAUUCCCUUAGUAACUGCGAGUGAAGUGGGAAAAGCUCAAAUUUAGAAUCUGGCGGUCACUUGGCUGUCCGAGUUGUAAUCUAGAGAAGUGUUGCCCGUGCUGGACCAUGUACAAGUCUCCUGGAAUGGAGCAUCACAGAGGGUGAGAAUCCUGUCUUUGACAUGGACUACCAGUGCUUUUGUGGUACGCUCUCAAAGAGUCGAGUUGUUUGGGAAUGCAGCUCAAAAUGGGUGGUAAAUGCCAUCUAAAGCUAAAUAUUGGCGAGAGACC
rnacentral:rRNA from 1 species